GAAGGACUCUUCCUCUGUUUCUCACGCACAAAAGUUUACCCCCUCUCUGUUUCACACCCUCUCUCUCUCAGAAGGAUUUUCCAUGAUAAAAACCAAUACUUUUAUCGCACAAAAAUGAGAGAAAUUUAAGGUUGGCGUGGAGUAGAGAUUGGAUGAGCAUAAGUGGUUCAAAUUAGUUCGAAUUCAAACCAUUUUGAAUUCAAACCAAAAUCACUUUGUUCUUGUCCAAGUGGGGC
rnacentral:lncRNA from 1 species